rnacentral:lncRNA from 1 species
CCUAGCGGGUUGUUUCUGGAGGCCCUGGGGGAAGAGUAGAUUUGCAAAGUAGCUCUCAAAACUAUUCUAGGUGCUUUCCAGAGCAAAUGGAUAGGUGCAUGAAGUUAAUUAUUCCCUGGAGAAAGGAAUCUUCUGUCAUUCAUCAACACAAUUAUUUUUAAAUCAUUUAUCACACAUUUGACUACAGCCUGUAAGUUUCAUAUGCAUUUCUUUCUUUGAGUUUGCAAUUAAUCUACUAGAAGGCUAAAAAGACUAUGAUUGUUGGUUUAAAAAAUCAGCAAAUUAGAAAUAUUAUCCAUUCCUUUUGUCUGGAAAUGAGAUGAGGUGAACCAUCAGUGGCAAAUUUUGAAAAGCCAAAUGUGUGAUGGUCAAAGGUCUGUGGUUAAGUUGAGUAUUUAGAGGAAGUUCAGAGAUGAGUGAUGAAGAUGAUUAGGGGCAUGGAAAAGUUCUAAUGUGAAGAGAGAUUGAAAAGAUUGGGAUUAAUUACUUUAGGGAGGAGAUGAGCAGAAGGGAUCAGAGUAUACAAAAUGAUGAAUGGUACUGAGAAGUUGGAUUGAGAAUGUCUGUUCUUCCUGUCUCAUAACACAAGAGGAAUAGGACAUUCAAUUAAAUAGGAAGGCAGCAAAUUAAAAAUGUAUACCAGGAAAUAUUUUUUUCACACAACGCAUAAUUAGAUUGUGGAACUCAUUGCCACAGACUAGCCAAAAACUUAGUAAGAUUCA